rnacentral:misc_RNA from 1 species
AAAUUUUGUCCACCUUAUUUUAUAUUUUCUUUGCAGGUGAACUCAUACUGUUUUUGAUUGGUUCACUUAUAAUUAUAUUCGAAGUAAAUCGUCAAGCAACAAAACAGGAAGAUAAGGAGCUAAACCUGAAGUCGCAGUGGCUGGCGAUAGCGUUGUCUCUGGAGGAGCUGCAGCGCGAGCUGGCGGCGCAGCAACGCGACAUCUCACGCUUGCGCGCGGCUUUGCUCGCAUUGCAAGCCGACCGCGAUCACGAUCAGAAUAUCGACAACGAUCACGAACGUGACCACGAUCGCGACGGCUCUCCGCCCGAUGGCCACGAUGACAAAGAUCCGAAACAUAACAAAUUUUCUCCGGAAUAUCAACCUCGCUUCAAGCCAUUCAACGAUAAUCUACAAUCAUGAACUUUGUCAAGUAUCUAAUUUAAAUCUCUUUUUAUAUAAAUCAUCGCUAACAUUGCAGUCGUAUCAUUGUUGAUAUUAAAGAGCAAGCAUUUUUUUUAUUUUAUAAUUAUACAAUGGGUUUAAGUAUCCAGGUACCUUAAUCCUCCACUUUAAAUCUGUACAUGGACAAGGUCAUGAAAAACAUUUUUGAGGACUUCUUAUAAUCUAUUGUUUGUAUCACUAGAGUGGCAAACAGUGUACAUUUUGCCUAAUGGUAAGCGGCUAACAUAGCCCAU